AAUCCAGCAGCACCGCUUAGAUAUAAGGAAUCGCGUAUCCAGCGCGCGAAACGUUAACCGUCGAUCGGCAACGAGUUCGUGGAACGAUCGGAAUGUAAAGCGACGUUCCGCGUAGUUUGUUCACGGUUACGAUUCCGAUUAUGAUAGCCUUUGAUAGUCUGCGAACUAGAAACUGGGCCUAGCUGUCUGCUCGAGUAGCUACGUGUUCGUCCGUGAACGACGUUGUUGAUCGAGAAAAUCGUUACGAUUUUUCAGCUUUUUUCUUUCUUUUUAUUGGUAAUACGGAUCGGUAAACGCGCCGCGUCUCUUCUUGAGUAAUCGAACCAGAACGUGAUUGCACGGUGCGGAUCGAAAGCAUCGUUGAUUCGACGCCGACGGUUGACGAUUCGAAUCCUGACGACCACCAAGGGUUCGAAUCGAGAUACAGUUAGAAAUGGCACGCUUCUUUCGAAACACGGACAAAUCGCGAGGCGUCAGGGUUGCCGAUCGACGGGACGAAUCGUAAAAUCCUGUGAGCGCCUUUUCGAGAAAGAAGCUAGAGAAAAAUUCACCACCGAGAAAGGACGAUGUCCAUCGGUCGUAAUCGUUAAAAGACAAUACUGCAACGUACCAACACGACUAUCGCUUCGGAAACGGACGGAGGACCGAAGAGGAAGCGGACGAUGAAUAGGCCGGCGAGGACGAUAAAGAAAAGAACAUGGCUAUGGAGUUAUUCCGAUACAAGCUGAUGGGGAAACUCAAAGGGGGAAGAAAGUGAGAGGAAGAGAGACCGUUCGCUACUGGUAUGAUAAACAGAUGAUUGUCGAGGCCAUCACUGGUUGGCGCCAUCUAGCAAAGACGAGCGACCGAAAGAGAAAGAAGUUCUCGGAGGGAUCGGGACGCAGGAUCCGAAGAGGGACGAGGAAUCAGCAGGGAAAGACCGAGCCGGAGAUGGUCGUAGCUCCGCUUGCGCUCUCAGGCACAAACUACUCGACCACCAACCAGCACGGAUCCGAAACCCUACCUUGCUUCUUACCUUCUUCUCUGCCCUGGUGGAAGUUCGCCCUAGAAGCAACCCUUCCUCUUUGCCAGUCGAUCUGGCCCGACGUAAAACGACACUUGGCAUGCAACACCCUUCAUAGGCGAUCAUGAGCGUCGAUCAGCAGAGUCUAACGCUGAUGACUAGCGAAGAAGGAGCCUACUUGAAGAGAUCAUGACAGCAAGUGAUUCGGCUCGUUUCCGAUUCGUGGAAUUUUGAUAAAAUUCCUCUGUGAAGAGGAACCUUUGCUUCUGGAUGAGGAAAUUGGCAAGGAUUCAAUGAAACUGAGUCAUUGAGGGAUCGUCUCUGUGAUCCAUUGGUAGAUCUUGAUGGUUCUUGUGGGAAGGACAAAGACAGUUUGAGGAAAAGUGAAAAUUGUGAUUAUGAAAACUGGGGAUUGUGAAAUGAAGCUUCCUUGGAUGGUGUGAAACUGACUUGGACAUCCACGUGCCGAGGGAGUGAUCGAUCAUCGUCGAUCCAGGGAUCAAUAUUCAUCGCAUGGCUCGUCGGAUCCAGUCGAAAUUUAGCAGAAUGCUGUGUGGAAGAUGCGUCUUCUAGUUCUCCUCCUCGCGGGCUUCUUGAACGUUCUCGAGACUGCGCGUUGUCAAGAGCUUUCGGUCAUCAGGCACUCCGAUGGAGACAUUUUCACAUUGGAAGGAUCCUGCACGGAGGCAUGCACGGUGCUUAGCAGCGGCACAGCGAGCCCCUACACGCGUAGUCCUUCAACGGCAGGACUCGUUCCUCCGAACAACACCUGCACCUGCCAAUGCAACUACGGUCUCCCUACCUUCCGGGAGGAUCUUCACAUCUGCGUGAAUGAUAUUCAUGAGUGCAAUGUGGCUGGGUUCGUCAGUGGCGUGGGUCAAAUUGAAAAGGUGCCGUACGUGUUUCUACCCCAACGGGGACAGAUAAUCUACCCUCACGCGGAAAUUCGAUUCGAAGGUGUAACGACACCGGUGUGCGGAAUAACCGGUGCCCAGCAAUUAGGAAGAGCAGGAUGGUCGGAGCUGAGGAACCUUUCGGACACCGAGCCACCCUUCAGACUGUUCCGCGACGAGGGCAGGACGUUUCUACAGUGGAUCGGCGAAACGGGAUUAAGAGAGGCGGCGGAGGGUCGGGUGGUGACAGCGAAACUCGUCUGCAGGGAUGCAUCGCCGAAAUCAAAGCUUCCUGGUGUUUUCACUCCAUGCGUGGCUUUCAGAGUGGCUGGAUCACCGUCGAAGAACAACGUUCGAGAAGUGACGUUCUCCUCGACGACCCAGCUCUCCCAGGGACUCUCCGCCACCGAAUACACAGCCAUAGGUCUGUCAUCGGUGAUUUUGGCGUUGAUAUAUGUCGCCAGCGUGUCUUUGUACCUUCACAGUAAAAAGGCGAAGAGAAAGAUCGUGGAGGAACCGGAGAUCAGCUUGUCGCACGGUAGGGAAGUAAGCGGAUUAGUGAAGAACAACCCAUUGCUCGCUGCUUCCAGACACUUUGAAAGCGAUACAAACAGCGGUCUCACGGAAAGCGAUGUGGGCGACGAACUUCCGCCAAGCGACGGUGAACAUGGCUUCGAAAACGUGCGUACAAAUGUAACAUCGGCUAUCAUUCAUCCUCAUUGUGUCUAUCUGGACCAAUCAGAAGCCUGCUUUGGAUCCGGAACGAUCUUAGGUGAGAGGAUUCCGGAAGAGGAUGUACGAGUCGUGGAGACCGCAGACAAUCCCCAUCAGCAAGAUGCUCCUGUGCUACCCGGUGCUCAAAGAAGAAAAUUGUAUUUCAACCCUGCCUAUUUUGACAGGCAAUUGCUACUCGCUCCCCCUCCAGCAGCCAUCGAGUUCCUUCUCAAAAUCCGGGAGGUCAUCUCCAUCGCGAAGCACAAGAUGGCCGCCAAGAGGUUCGUUCCUACCCUCAUCAGUAUUCCGGAAGAGGAAGGCAGCCAGGAGCAAUGCGAUACCAAGGGCCAGCAUCAUCAAUCCGCUUCGAACUCGGCGCAAGAGUCGAUCGCGAGAUCACGGAAGUCUCAACGAUGCACAGGGUGCCCCGGUUGCACGGACUACCUGCGUGGCACGCCCGCGUUUCCGGAAGUCGAUCAAGCCAAUCCUGGUGAGAGCAAAGUCCGAGCCUGGUUAGAGGACGUGCGGUUAACUCCUCAGCGUCGUUGGAAGAACUCGGACGAGUGUCAAAGGAUCGUUCAAGAGAACAGUAAGAACUUCAGUAAGAACCUUGAAUAUCUAAAGGAACUGGCUAAACAGGACCUUGAUUCAGAUACGAGGAGUUUGACAAGAAAGUUUUCUUCGUGGAAAAAUAAUCCAACCAUGACCAGAAGCUUCCAAAACGUAGCCAGAAGUGAAAUUUUAGAGACGGACGAUAGAUACAGUGUUUCGAAACGCUCCACCAAGUCAAUGUUCGAGGAAUUCAAUUAUUAUUCUCAAAGAAACGGAGAUCCUUCGGUGGAUUCAAAUGGAAACAACACUAUGAAUGCUAAAGUGAGGAAGGCUAUAGAGAACUCGUUCAUCAAACAAAUGGAGGAGAAUUCUAUUCUAGAGAGUCGGGCUAUCGAGAAACAGGAGGACACAAAGGAGGAAGCAAUCUCCGAGAGUAGAAAUAAAGAAACCGAGAAGAUGGAUUCGAACGACAGCUCGUCCGGUAAACGAGCAAAGAAAGUAAACGCGAGUUCACCAUCGGCGAAGGAACUGCCAGACAUGAUCAACGAGCUGCCUAAUGCGAAAAACACGGCGAAACGCAUUAUGGACGCGGUGAUCCGCGAGAUGGUUGACGCUAAGGCACUGGAACAUCAUUCCAGAUCAGGUACCAUUACCGAUUACGAGGUGGAUAGUCUGGAGCGAUCGAAGUCCAGCAGAAAAUCAUCGGUCUCACCCGAGUCAACCGAUCAGUCCAGCCCUUCCUUGUCCACAGCUCUGCCGAUGGACGAGGAAUUAACGAUGCAGAACGCGGUGAUCAACACCAGAACCAGGGAAAUGAUGUCGAAUAAACUGAACAAAGACAUCGUGGAGAAGAACUAUUACAACAGUCUACCUGAACUGAUCUCUUCGCAGAGAUCCGAGAGUUACUCGUUGGUCAGCGAGGUGUACGUGAACGACGGCUACGACAGUCCAGCCUGCAGCGACGAUUCAGGCCCGGAGAUUCGUUACGAGCCUGAAAACCCAGGCCACCUGACCAUCAAGGUACAGGAUUCACCGGAGAACUACGUGAAGCAAGACGAAUCCGAAUACGAGCCCGACACUUUGGAUAGGAAACCAAUGAAGCUGAAGAUCAACGACGACGUUAACUACGAGAAGGACGUUCCUGAAGAGAUCUACGUGGACUCUCUGGAGAGGCCAGCCCAGAUACUGCUCAAGAGCAAGGGUAGCUUUCGUGAUCAGGACUCGAACAGAAGCAACACACCCCUGCAACGUGGGUACGGUAGCCUCCGAGAGAUCUACGAAGCCAGACUGAGAUCAAACAUCAAGGAUUGCAACCUGUCGAAUAGUACCAGGUCGUUGAAUGGACACGUGGAUGAUGUAUCGUGGAAAAGGUGCAAGUACCUGACGCCUGAUAGCAGACAACUGAAGCGACAAAGACAACCGAGCAAUCAACCGGACGUGGUGCCAUUACCCCCGACAGAGGAUAUCUAUCAGCACCCAAAGCCCCCGCGUCGCGUGAAAGACGCCCCCUGCCCUGUGUCAAAAAACGGUUGGGACAGGAGUCCUGCCGAAGCGGGUGACCCUACGACCAGCAACGGUGCUCCUGUCCGUAGCGACAAUCUAGACGUAGGGACCACUGGUCCUCCUUGCUGUUGCAAGCCUCGAAUGUCCGAGGAGUCAAUAGCCAGGUGUAGACACCAGGUAGGUACGCAUUCCAGGAACAAUUCCGCGAAAGAAAAAUCGAAGACGAACUUCUCCUCCUGGGGCAACGCUCGGUGCUGUCAGAAGGAGAUGAAGAAGCUCCUGGAUCAGUGUCAUCAUGUACUGGGUACGAAGGGGGAGAAAUCUAGGCAGGACUGUCAGAAAGAGGCUCAUACUUGCAAAAGGCACUCGAGAAGCUACGAAUCUAUUAACUCUACUAAUCAUACUUUUGGUUGUCAAUCAUCCAGGAUCAAAGUGGAGGACAGUGGAUAUCUGAGCAGUACGGAUAGCAAUGGAUCCCAUAAGCAAUUACUCAGACACGAAGUGAGCAGUGUCUCUGAAACUGACGAAACGGAGUCUGUCUGUGAUGGAGCUAGCGAGAGUGGAGCUGAGAGCGUUGGUACCGACAGUGUAUUCUUUGGAAAUUUUCGUAGACUCGCUGACAAUUCUAAUUUUUCCAAUAUUAUUGAUCCGAGUAUUGAUGUUAAUGAGAAGAAUAUGUAUCUUCAAUCGUUUGCCAUCAGAAAUGAUGUUGGGGGUUCAGAGAGGACCAACUUUAGCACUAGUGAUAGCGAGACUGAGAGCUUCAUCACUGUUCUCCCACCCUGCGGAGUUGGGGAUGCGAUUUGAUUAUUUAAUGAGGAUUAAAUUAAAUUAAGGAAAGAAGAAUGGAGAAUUCUUUUGCCAUGGAGAGGAGACGAAGUUCACUAUUUAACAGUAUUAAAUACGUUUAAAAUCAAAAACUAGUUGCCAUCAGGGUAGAGACUUUAGAAAAUGGCAACAAGUAUUUCCUUUCUAUACACGUAUUUAGUAUUGUUUAAGUCCACGGCCAGUAUACUGCUUCUUCCUUUUUAGAAAUCGUAAGCAAAGGAUUUUAUUCAUUCUUACUGUUGAUAAUUUAAUGAAAUAUCAAACGCGACGCGUUUAGGGGUUCGCCAAACGGGUAAAAUAAAUUAAAGUUAACUUGAGAAGAGUAUAGAAAUGCUAUUAAAAAAAAAGUUUAUAUAUUAUUAGUUUACUUGAGUUAGGUAUCAGAAUUCUAAUAUAUUUAUGACAGUAUAUAAUCCUUAAAUAUUGUAUUUUUUUAAAUCAACAAGAAUAAUUUAAAUAAUUAAUAGAAAUCAUAUAAAGAUUAUGGUCUGCAAUGUUUAUAAACUGCCAUUGUAAGAUUUAAUUUAAUGAUAGUGGCCGGAGGUGUGCAAUAUUAUUUUUUAAUGGGAAGAUUAUGAAUAUAUGAUCAAUAAAUAAUAACAGAACGUUAUUGCUAGUCGAUGGGAAAGAAGAAGUUAUUAAACACUAUUGUUUUAGAUUUUAGAAAUCCUUUAGAAAAAUCGAAAUUCUUCCAAAUUUUAUUCUGGAAGAUUACCCUUCACAGAUUUAUUCAAUUAUUAUAUUAUUACAUAUUCUUAAAAUACUGUUACUCAAUUUAUCACAAACAUGAAUGAUAUCUUGCCAAAACGGUAUUAAUAAUUUACAACUAUUUUUUUACUACAAUACAUGUGUUAUUGUUAUAACUUUUCCUAAACAUUAAGAAGAAAACGAUAUUUUCCUUUAAAGCUACUCAUUAAUAUUUCAUUGUGUAUAUAUAUAUAGAUUAGUAUAAUUUUGUUAUUUUUCUUGUUGCAAUAUAAGAUAUAGUUAAUUGUAUUCAUUAUCAAUGAUACAGAUUUUAUUUAUAUAUAUUUUAUGUUAACUUUAAAUAUAUCCUAAUAUAUUCUAUUGUUAUCGCGUUAAUUUAAUAUAUGAAUAUACGUGAAAAUGAAAAGCAAUUGUUAAAGAAACAGAAACCGUCCUCUAACAGUUCUUAUAUUUUAGAUUCAAUGUUUUUCAUAUUUCUUUAUAUUUAUAUCAGAAGCGCACGCUUCAAUGUACCUGCCAAAUGUAUAUACAAAAUAGAUUUUAAUAUAUUGAACGAAAUAGCGAUAGUAGUAGGUAUACUUUAUAAAACGUUAAAAAAGGGAAUAUUAUUCUAUCGUUACGAGUAAGUAUUAUAAAGAAAGAUUUGUUUAAAAUUAAUGUAUGCAUUUCCAGACAAAAGUAUGGGGCCACCUCUCGACAAAGACUCAAAGUCUGAUUUUUAAAAAAUAUGUAAUAAAAGGUGUCCGUAAAUAAUUCCAUCGUCUCACUUUUUUAAUGUGUUCCAUUUAUGUUUUUUUUAAUCAAUACACGUUUUAAAAAUGAUACUGGAAUUUCUAUCUAUCGGUAAACAGUAAAAUGUAUGAAAUAAAAAAUUGUCUUUUCCAUUAAAAUUUUAAGA